ACCGCUCAGUAACACGUGGACAACCUACCCUUAGGUCGGGGAUAAACCCGGGAAACUGGGUAUAAUACCCGAUAGAUCUCGACUGCUGGAAUGCAUCGAGAUCGAAAGCUCCGGCGCCUAAGGAUGGGUCUGCGGCCUAUCAGGUAGUAGUGGGUGUAGCGUACCUACUAGCCUACGACGGGUACGGGUUGUGAGAGCAAGAGCCCGGAGAUGGAUUCUGAGACACGAAUCCAGGCCCUACGGGGUGCAGCAGGCGCGAAAACUUUACAAUGCUGGAAACAGCGAUAAGGGGACCUCGAGUGCCAGGUUACAAAUCUGGCUGUCGUGAUGCCUAAAAAGCAUUGCAUAGCAAGGGCCGGGCAAGACCGGUGCCAGCCGCCGCGGUAACACCGGCGGCUCGAGUGGUAACCGUUAUUAUUGGGUCUAAAGGGUCUGUAGCCGGCCGGAUAAGUCUCUUGGGAAAUCCAGCAGCUCAACUGUUGGGCUUUCAGGAGAUACUGUCUGGCUCGAGGCCGGGAGAGGUGAGAGGUACUUCAGGGGUAGGGGUGAAAUCUUGUAAUCCUUGAAGGACCACCAGUGGCGAAGGCGUCUCACCAGAACGGACCUGACGGCAAGGGACGAAAGCUAGGGGCACGAACCGGAUUAGAUACCCGGGUAGUCCUAGCCGUAAACGAUACUCGCUAGGUGUCGGCCACGGUGCGACCGUUGUCGGUGCCGUAGGGAGGCCGUGAAGCGAGCCACCUGGGAAGUACGGCCGCAAGGCUGAAACUUAAAG
rnacentral:rRNA from 1 species